GGGCGUGUGGCUCAGUUGGUAGAGCGUUCGCUUAGCAUAAUCUUGAAAAAAAUGAAGCAACAAUAGAUGUGGAGUUUGAUAUAUCGGAUAUGCGAAAGGUCCUGGGUUCGAUUCCCAGCUCGUCCA